rnacentral:rRNA from 1 species
ACUUUCAACAACGGAUCUCUUGGUUCUGGCAUCGAUGAAGAACGCAGCGAAAUGCAAUAAGUAAUGUGAAUUGCAGAAUUCAGUGAAUCAUCGAAUCUUUGAACGCACAUUGCGCCCGCCAGUAUUCUGGCGGGCAUGCCUGUCCGAGCGUCAUUUCAACCC